rnacentral:lncRNA from 1 species
UUUUUUUUUUUUUUUUUUUUACAGUUUACCCUUAUAUAUAAUAGGGUAUUUUUGUCAUUUCAUUUACCUACAUUAGUUUUGAUAAUUUCCGUUGCUUUUCAGCUUAAUUUAAAUUAUGAAGUGUUAUAUUAUAUGUUUUGAAACUACAAUGGGAUUUCCUAUAUAUUCACUUAACCACUAUUGAUAAUUUUUUUUUUUUUUUUGGCUUUUCCCUAUAUUCACUUAAUUUGUACGUACUAGACGUGUUUCCAACUCAAAUGAGAGGGACAGUAGUCAGUCACUAAAUUGUAAAUUCUUUGGGUCUACUCCCAAGUCUCCUAUUUUCAGAACAGAUGGAUGUUCAUCGAAUUAUAUAGAUAUUCUUUCAACACAACAUGGGUCAACGAAAAAGAUUUUGAAAAUCUACCAAACUACGAAAAAGCUAUGAUCUUUUGGAAAAUGGGCUCCUAUUAGUGCAUAACCACAUUAAUAAAUUCAUACUAACCCAUCAAUUUGGGAUCUAAUUCAAUUAGUAUGGAAUAAUAUUGAUUCAUAUAGAAGGAAAAAAAAUAUCUAUUCAUUCAAACAUUGUACCUAUAUCUAUGGGAUAGGGAUAGAAAAAGAGGAAAUGUCGAAAAUUUCACAUCAUACUUCUGAUCGAAAAAUCAAUUUGACCUAUUUUCAUGCUCAUUGUUCAAUGAGAAACGGGUCAAAUUAUACAAGAUCAAGCCUAUAAAGCUUAAGGAGUGAUAUAUAUAUCUAUAAAGAGAGGAUUUAUUAAAUUUAAAUAAAAAUGAAGUAGAAGAACCUCGAUUCCAAAUGAAUAAAAUCAAAAUUGAAAAUGAUCUUUUUGAUUCUCUUGAAGAAUGAGGGGCAAAGAUCUUUUUACUGACGGAAAUUAAACCAAGCUAAUUUAGUAAUUUAAUUAUCAUUUAGUUACUUAGUUUGGAUGAUUGUAAAAAUUAUAAUUAUGGAAGAUGCACGGGAUCAUAGCUCGUGCUAAGUAGAGGUGGCAAAUCAACCCACUUAACUAAAUUUACCCAUACUCGCCCAUGAAUAGAUGGGUAUGGGUAUCUUAAAUUUUUGUAUAUGGGUAUAAAUGGGUUACCCAAUAAUACCCAUUUAUUUAAAUGGGUAUUAUUGGGUAACCCAUCAAACCCAAUGAACCCAUUUAGAAUUUUCUUCCCCCCAAGUCUCUUAUUUUCCCCCACUUUUUUUUUUUCAAAUUUUUCAUUUUGUCAUGAUGUUAACUAUUUUUGUUUCAUUAUUAUUAUUAUUAUUAUUUGUUGGUUUUAUCUUAUUAUUUUAUUUUCUCUUAAUUUGUUAACUUACUCAUUUUUUAGCAUUACCAAUUUAUGAUAAAUUUUAGCCUAUUUUCUUAUCUUUAUAAAAUGAAAUUUUAAAUUUAUCUAUGAAAAAAAUGUUAGGGGUUCAAAAUUUUUGGAUUAAGUUUUUAUAUUAAUUUUUAUAGUACUUAGUUCAAAUUUUUAUAUUCUUAUUAUUCAAUUAUUAAAUAAUAGGUAAUUUUGUGACAUAGAGUAUAAAUGAAAAAAAAUUGGUAAUUAAGUUUAUUGAACAAUAUAAGUAAAUAUUUAAAACUAAUGAUGGGUACAAAGAGUGGUAUAAAUUGAUAACUUAGUUUGCAAAAAUGAAUUUAAAUGAGUUUGCAAAAAGUUAAAAUAAAUGGGUUAUAAAUGGGUAAUUAUGUUACCCAAUUCAUUUUGUGACUUACCCAUUUAUACCCAUCUAAUUAAAUGGAUAUAAAUGAGUUGACUCACUUAUAUCCAUUACUCAUUUUACCCAACCCAAACCCGCCCAAGUCACCCAUUUUGACACCUCUAGUGCUAAGUAAGGCUUUCUUUAUUUCUUUGUCGGGUGUCCAAGAGUCCCGACCCGAACUGAUUUGGUUGGCAAGUGCGGGUUCCUUGCAGUGUAGGUUGUCUAGUCCUAUUAGUAAGUAUUUGGUUUUGCAACUUUCCUUUCUAGGAGUGGUUUAAGUCAGUCAAGAAUACUAGUUGAUUUAGGUUUGGUCUCGAGUCUUUCUAUAUAUACCAACAGUGGUGCUAGGUUAUUACUCGGAAGAGUUAGAGUCUUGAGAAUAGCUUUAAGAGAAAAUCUCAUAAUUGAGAUUCGUGAAUUGUGGUAAGUGCAAUGGCUUGAUAUUUGUUAUUGUUUAAUUUCGAGUUAAUUAAAUUAGUGAGUAUUUGUUCUCCUCCUCUUCCCACGUAUUUUUAUGUGUUAGAAUUGAGUACAAUGAAAAUUAAGUACAAUGAUCCGAGUAUUAAGAGAGAAUAUUGAUGGAGCAAUUUUGAAAUUGUCUUAAUUAAGAUGAAUGCUGCGUGGUUGACGACGUGAAUUAUUACAUACUAUUAAUAAUUUAUGGAAAUUUGGGUUUUAUUCUUACAGUCUGGAGAUUAUCCUAAGCAGUAAGUAAAACGGAUUAGGUUAAACAGGAGUAUGUAUCACAUCUUUCUUUAAAUUCUCCAACAUUGAUGUCUUUUCAACUAAAAUUCCACUGGUUUUUACAUUCUCCCUUCCUCUUUCUUGUCUUUUUCUAGGGCGCACUUUUCCAAGACCUGAGUAGUAUUUUAUUCUGUCUGCGGCUGUUUGAAUUUCGCUUCAGUUGCGGGAAAAUCUUACGUAAGAAAAAGAACAGUAUUUUGCGAGGGAAAGCCAGAUACCAACGUUAACCUUAACCAUGUGAGAUGGGAACGAGAUACCAAAAUUUCGUGGAUACUAUCUUUAAUUAUAAGGUAUGAAUUUUCCCAGAAGAAUCCCGUCAGACUUAUUGUGUUUAUUGACAAUCGAAUUUUUUCGUAUAUUGAUUAAUUCCAAAUUGGGGUUUCUAAAUUCGAAUUAGAUGAACUUGCCGUAAACCCUAUUUUAUUUCCUUGAUCAAUUAGGAAAAUUUUUGGUACUUUUAAAUUGUCGGACUUUUGGUUACGGGUCAGUUGGGAAUUAGGAAGGUAAUUAAUUAGGGAAAAAAAAGGAAAUAAAUUACAUUGAAUCAGCUUCAUCGUGGAACUAAUUUGGCAUAUUUAAGUUAAUCUGUGCAAUGUUGAAUGAUUUUUAGGGGUGUCAUUCGAACCCGGAGAUGUUAUCCACUCAAUUCCAGAAUUUGGUCCCCCAUCCGGCGUUUGAUGCUCAUCCACUUAAUAAAGCUUCUAGCAUUUAUCAGUCUUCACAAAUAGCUGCGCCUGGGCUUGGGUGGAUGCCUGAUUUUCACAGUAUAAGUUCACAGUAUGGCGACUUGAUGACUACGGGUAUCGACCAUAACGGUACCGGCUAUGUAUAUCAUGACUAUUUGCCUCAAGGUACUCUUUUAGCUGCAUGGAUGUAGAACUUAGUGGAUAUGUGUGCUUGUGCAUCCCUACUUUGUCUCAUGACAAUUAUUGCAAAUGCAGGUUUUUCUUUCAGUAACCAGGGUGCUAGCUCUAGAUUUAUUGCAUCUGACGGGAAUAACAUGUUUACUUCUCUCGGAAAAAACCCAAUUUCUGCUGAGGUCAUUACUUCUCCGGAGCAUAUAGUUCUUAUUAAUGAAGGUUAUCGAUUCAACAACCAGGAUAUUGCCUGUAGAUUUAUCGCGCCUGAUGGAGAUAACAUGUUUUCACCUUUGGGAAAACUGUCAAUUUCUCCUGAGAUCAUUACUUCUCCAGAGCAGAUCUCUUCAAUCACGGCAUGCUCGGAUGUGGACCUGCAUUCUGAUGGUGAAUACUGUGAUGGAGGAUCAACUUUUCCUUCCAUCAGAUUAAACUACUUAUCGAAGCCAUCAUCGCAAAGUUGCAAUCCGGUGCAACAAGGUAAUCAGGGUAUUGUUUUGGUUGUCCAAAUUUAAACUAUGAACUAUGGCCACAUGUGCAGGUUUGGUUGGUCUUUUUUUGAUAUGUCUGAACAGAGAUGGUUAUGAAAGACGUCAUUAUGUGAUGAUACUGCUGCUCAAUAAAUUCUUGUACUGACUAACUAGAAGAUAUAAUGGAACAAGAGAUGCACAUGUGAGAAAAUUGAGAGUUGAGAGUUGAAAAAUGUGUCACUCUAUGUAAAGCUAGGUUUAAAAAGAUCCAUUCAUUUCGAGAAAGUAGAUAGGAGGACCUAAUGCCUCUGUUGAAUUGAUAUGCACGAUCAAUCACUAUGAACAUAUUCUUUAUCAGCCUUUACCUCCAACAUUUAUUGUUUAUUACAUUCUGUAUUGCUUCUUAGUACAUAUUGUUUUCUUAUACGUUGCCUUGUGAUAAUUGUUCUCUUGUAGGGGAGUUGGACUUAGAAGAUCAGAGACUUAUGGAGGCCAAUCAGAAUGUUUAUCAUGAGGUUCUUCCUAUACCAUCUGUUCAACAUGGGCAGAUACCUUAUCCAAACACAUGCAUUUUGGAACAGGUUUUUGAUAGGAUUCCUCAGGGGUCCAAUUCUCUUGCCAGUCAGAUUGCUGGUAAUGCAAUAUCAACUCAUGAAGACUUGUUGCAAGAUCAACUUCCACAAUUGAAUCAAUUGCCUGGACAAUUGCAGUUUGAUGAGCUGUCUAAGGCCCUCAUCAGGGAGGUUGAUUCAGAAAGCCAGUGUGACAAUUAUACCUCUAACGAAAGGUCCUUGAAGCUGAGCCAAUUUUCUGUAGAGCAAGAAUGUCAUAGCCAGCAACAACAGCCAUCUAUUUUGCAACAAAUUGGAGUAUCAAAGAUUGCAGAUUCAACUAAUUUGUCGAUUCAGGACAUUCUUCUUCAGUAUAUUCACCACAGUAAUGAUGUUCAGAAUAAAGGGAAGAACCAAGCUACCUUUUUGAAGAAAUUGCAUGACAUGCGAUGCCAGGACAAAGACUGCAAGUGUGACAGGGACCGCGCACUUAUUUGCCAUUAUGAAAACUGUAGCUACCUUUUUUGUAGCAUUUGCAAGCCUGUCCGAGAGUUGUGUUCUGCUGAUAGAGUUCAGUCAGGGUUGGGAGAUUUAAGAUCUGAUCCAUUGAUGGCUGUCCAUGGUAGAGAGUGUUCUGGCUCUGGCACUUAUAUAGGUGAAGUUGCUCUACCUCCUCCCAAACGCAAGAGGUUGGAGGAUUGCUUUUUGUCUGGGAACGUUUCUUCUUCUCCGGAUGCUGAUUCAGUUGAUGAAUCUUUCAAAUCUGGAGGGACUUCACAGUGCAAAAGCUGGUCUGAAAGUCCUCUGUGUAAUAAUGAAAAUCAAGAAGUUACAAAAAUGGAAGACUUAUGCUUUCAUGAGAAUCCCAUUCCAGAUAUGAAAAGAGAGAAGUUACACUCUUCAGAAGACACAGCUUUUGUAACAUCAAAUCAUAACCCUGAAAAUAGUCAAGGAGUGGCAUAUGGUGAUGGGCCCUUUCUUUGUGGAAAGCUCAAUUAUGGGACUAGCAAAUCUGGUGAUUUGAAGUCUGACAUUCUACCUGUUCUUGAGGAGCCAAACGUUGUCCAAGAAAAGGGGGGGAUACAUUAUUUGUCCAAGCCUACCCAACCUGAAUCAAAAGCUAAAGCAGACUCAAGAGAAGCUGCAACUGAUAAUCAAUCAGGGACCAGUUUGGAGGAUGUGAAGAAGCUACCUGUGUCAUUGGUUGACUUUCUCAGUUCUGUGGAAAUAAAUGAACAUAUAUGCAGUCUCAGUCAAUCAGUGGCUCAGGUUUGUGCAACAUACCCAUUAGAUUAACAUUUUAGUUUGAAAGCUGCAGUAGAGGCUGCUGCGACAUUUGUUUUGUUUUUGUUGCCUGUUCUUGUUUUUGUGAUUACCUUUUGUGUCAUGUAGAUGUUUCGAACUUGUCCUUGCAUUUUCUCCUGUGCAGGUCAAAUAUUUCUAGUGCUAUUAAUUCAAGUAAAUCAUCUUUCCAUGAUGAAUAUCAUAGCUUUUUUUGUUUUUCUAAUAGGGCAUUACAACGGAGUCAAAAGAAAACCUCAUGGAAAGUUGUGUUGCCGAAAACAAGUGCCAGUUGUGCAACAUGGAUCAGCUUGUCUUUAGCCCAACACCUAUGUAUUGUUCAUCCUGCAAUCUUCGCAUCAAGCACAAUUUGAUAUAUUAUUGGACACUAGAUGAAAUGGGUUCUAGGCAUUGUUUCUGUACACGAUGCUUUAAGGAGUCCCGUGGCGGUAGUAUUACAUUACAACAGGGGAUGUCUGUAUCUAAGGCACUACUUCAGAAGGAAAGGAAUAAUGAGGAAAAUGAAGAAUCGGUUAGCUCACUCAUCUGUGUAGACUAUUUCUUUUUCCCCUCCCCUCUCAAUUAAAGUCUUUGUGUUCAAUGUCUAUGACAUCUCUUCUAUGUUCAGUGGGUGCAAUGUGACAAGUGUGGUUGCUGGCAACAUCAGAUCUGUGGUUUGUAUAAUGCCAAAAGAGAUGCAGAGGGAAAGGCCAAGUAUAUUUGUCCAUAUUGCCGCUUAAAAGAGAUUGAAAUUGGUGAGCAUGUGCCUCUACCUGCUGCUUUUGGGGCAAAAGAUCUUCCGCGUACAAAACUAAGUGAUCAUAUUGAGCAGAGACUGUUUGGGAAACUCAAGAGAGAAAGAGAAGAGAGGGCGAAGUUUCUGGGUAAAGAUCUUGAUGAGGUAAGUUAUCUAUAGAACUUGGUUGUAAACCAUUUUGUUGUUUUUUUUUCCUGGACGUGUGACAGUUGUUAAACAAAUUUUACUGUUUGAACUUGGCUAAUAGAAAGUCUAGUUCGAUAACAGGAUGAUUUAUGUACAAUAUCCACAUGUUGACAAACCAUUAAUGCUAACACUAUGGGGGAGAUCAGUAUCUUUCAUUAAUUUAGUAAAAUAUUGAGCUGAACUUUUUCUUACUGAAUUUCUUGAUUUAAGAUAAAUUAAACUUACCUACAACAUGUGACAAAUUGUCCAUGUUAGAGGUUUUGACUUUUUUUUCCCCUUGUGAAUUCUUAGAUGUAUGUUUUUCUUUUAAUCACUUGCGUACUACCAUAAUGUUGUCCCUUUGUGAAAUACUUGGUCGCUAGUGAAUUGGCACCCUUUUAAAAGGAAAAAAUAGCUGCUUGCUUAGCUGCAAAUUGUUUCUAGUUAGAAAGAUCUCAUCAUUUUGCAUUGCCAUCAUGAAAGGAAAAAGGAAGACUGGCUGAAAAAAAAUUAAUUGUGAAUUUGGAUAGCCUAUACUCUUCUAGUGCAAAAUCAUAGCAGUGUUAUUUGUUGUAUGAUAUACUUUUUGUGACUAGGUACCUGAAGCAGCAGAACUCGUUGUUCGUGUGGUCUUAUCUAUGAACAAACUUUUGCAAGUGAAGCAGCAAUUCUUGGAUAUUUUUCCUGAUGAAGAUUAUCCAGAAGAGUUCCCAUAUAAGUCCAGGGUAAGAGGUUGAGUUCUUAUCAGGAUAUGUAGCAGUACUUGUAACUCAUUAGUUUUUGAUAGUUUCAGUGUAAUUUUUGGUAAUUUUGCUUCUGUAAUUGGACUGUUUAGUGGAAUUGAUCUGAUCCUUGUUUAUACAAAUCUUAAACAUAAGCUAAUUGUCAAAAUGUAAUAUCAUAUAACAGUUAAAGUUGGCCCCAAUAAGACAAUGCCUUGCAACUAUAUUUCCUAUCAAUUGCUGCCUCUUAUGAAUAAUAUGUUGAUAUGUGCUAUGAAAUAGUAUUCAGAAUAGUAGGUGGGGGAAAGAAUUCAGAAAAGGGGAAAUGUCCAACUCAAUACUACAUCAGGAGUUUUAUAUUUCUUUUCUGGUUUCUAUUUUUUCUUACAUGGAGAUAUCCUGGAUGCUUAAUAUAUCCUUGGUGUACAGGUGAUCCUAUUGUUCCAGAAAAUUGAAGGCGUAGAUGUAUGUCUAUUUGGUAUGUAUGCCCAGGAGUUUGGAUCAGAAUGUGGUCAACCAAAUCAGCGCUGCCUCUAUAUCUCAUAUCUGGAUUCUGUCAAGUACUUUAGGCCUGAAAUAGAAACUGUUUCUGGUGAAGCUCUUCGCACCUUUGUAUAUCAAGAAAUUUUGGUACUUACUCUUUUCUGAAAUCACUCUCUUCUACUCCUCCUAGCUGUGUGAAAAUUUUCAUAUAUAUUACCUAUAUGCUGGUUUUAUGCUUUUCUUGGUCAUUGUUGCAGAUUGGUUAUCUUGAUUACUGCAAGAAACUGGGCUUUGCAACCUGCUAUAUAUGGGCUUGCCCACCAAUAAAAGGGGAGGAUUAUAUUCUGUACUGCCAUCCCGAGACUCAGAAAACGCCAAAGCCAGAAAAGUUGCGGCAGUGGUAUAUGUUUCUGACUCUGUUUUCUGCGACACUUCUUUUUUUCUUUUUUCUGUUUACAACUAUCUCAGAAAACCAUUUGACACACUCAUGCUUGCAAAUCAGUAUUGCUUGUCAUGCUACUGGAGAUCUUGGACUUGCAACCUAGUGGAUCUUUGUAUUUGGUUAGGUUCCUCCUUAGGCUCAAUACAUAGGUUCUUUUUCUGUGAUCUAUGACAUCACUCGUUUACUACAUAAAAACUGCCUUUCUAUGAGUUACAUCAACCUAGACCUUUGCAGUACACCAAUUACAGGAUCCUUGAGUGGCAGUUUUGAUCUCUUUAAGUUAUUCAGUGUGUAGUUGUUAACAAUGCCAUAAUUUGUUUGUGUGAUACCUUCUUUUACUUUGAAUAUCUAUUUGCAACUUCUUUUGUGCCUUUGCAUGCUUUACUAAUACUACAUUUGCAGGUACAAGUCAAUGCUUAAGAAAGCGGUGCAAGAGGGUAUCGUGGUGGAUUACACCAAUAUGUAUGAUCGUUCUUUUAUUUCAAAUGGGGAGUGCGGUACCAAGAUAACAGCAGCUCGUUUGCCAUAUUUUGAUGGAGACUAUUGGUCGGGGGCUGCUGAGGAGAUGAUAAUGGACAUGAGAAAGCCAAAAGGAGAAGCACGAGGGAAGGUCAAAAAUUUGACAAAGCGAUCUCUGAAAGCAAUGGGACUUGACAAUCUGACUGAUGAUGCAACAAAAGAUAUCCUGGUGAUGCAAAAGGUAAUUUCUGCUCAACAUGUUAAGGGUCCUUUAUUUGCAAGAAUGCAUUUUAUAGCAGUAUUUUGUUACCAUUUGCAUAGGUCUGGAUUCUGAUCUUCUGAUGAGCAUGACCUUGAUAUGUUGGGUCAACUAAACUGGCAACCCCUCAGUUUUGCCAAGCUAUAUAGACCUCACUUGAGUUUUUAAAACUUGCAAGGAGCUUAGGCAUGACUUUAACUCCAGAUUAACGCUCUAGUAUUACAACCAUGGCCCUUAUCAAAAGAAAAGGAUCAGAACCACCUAACAAAAAUAUGAAGGAAUAAAUUUCGUUAUAUAUGGCUAUUGUAAAUGUAUGCAAUUUACAUGCUUUUGGUUUCAAAUCUAUACCAAAAGAAGAAACAUAACUAUCAGUAAGCAGCUUGUCUAUCUAUAUGUGGUCCAUUAACUUUCUCCAUUUUGGACUUGAUUGAAAUUACAUCCUCUCAAGUUGCGAUUUGAAGGAGAACAAAACAUCCCUUGUACUGAAAAUGAAAGAAUAGAAUUAAAAAAAGGAGAGAAAAGCAUGUUAAUCAUUGCUUGGAUCCCUGUUGGAGCUGCUUAAUAGUCCCAAGCCCCUCUUCCAUCACCUCCUUGUUUAAUUACUUGCUUUUGUCACCGGUAUGCACUAGUAAGCAAUAUUUUGCAUGGUUAUAGUUUGAUAUGUGCUACUAUUCAUGGUUUUCGGAAUUAUAAUUACUUAUUAGCAUCAUUAACAUGGGAUAGUGAAUCCUGGCUGAAGCCAAAAGUAUUAAGUCAGCAACUUUCUUAUUUAUGUAAUUGAAUUAUUUAAUAUUGCUGUUUAAUCGUUCUCUUUUUCACUGACAGCUGGGCCAUACCAUCUUACCUUUGAAGGAAGACUUUCUAGUCGUCCACCUGCAGUUCACUUGCAAGAACUGUCAUAACUUAAUUCUAUCUGGUGCACAUUGGUUUUGUAACCAAUGCAAAAAUUAUUAUUUAUGUUCAAGGUGAUUAUCUAGUUCAAGUUUUUUGCUUAUUUUGUACUUCUGCCUCCUCCUCUUUGUUGUUCAUGAAUCUUUGUAUCUUAAAGAUUAUUAACCUACUUGAUUUUAUUUUAAUUACGUGUUUUUCUUCAUAUUGGUUUGUCUUUGGCUCAUGCUGUUGAUUGUUUCUUAUGGUAUUUACAAGCUUUGACUUGCACUUUAAGAUUAGCAAUUUUUUAUGGCUAUGUUUUAGGUCAAAAAUUGAUGUUUGAAUACAGAAUACUUAAUUGAAGGAUUCAUCUCAUCCUUUGUGGAAUAAGAAAAGGAAAAAGAAAGGAAGAAAAGGAUAAAGAAUGUGCUUUUUGCCAAUGCUCCAAGACAUUUUUCUAGUUUUUCAAGGGAAUUCUUUUCAGAAAAAAUUGGUGGACUUUUAACUGUUUGUUAGUUCAUGCGUGAAUCAACAAUAAAUUGUGGCAUUACUUAUUCGAUAUUGUAUAAACUGCAUUGAUUGUAAAAUUUUUUGACCAAGAUAACUUAUCAUUAAGUUGUUUGACCAAGGCAAUUGUUUGGAUGCAUGUUUUUAGGAAGAGUUUGCAAUAGCUUUUUUUUUUGGUAUAAUUGUGUGUAACAGAAAGGUGGUUGGAAAAUGUGUGGAGAGUUUUUCAGAAUAAGUUCUCCCCCAGACAAAAAUAUAAUAUGUGUAUAGAUAGCAUAAUAUGUGUAUAGAUAGCAUAAUAAUUCUAGUAGUAAAACUAGAAUCAUAAUAAUAAGUGUGUUCUUGUUUCUCGUGUUUAUUGCAGAUGCCUUCAAGUGGAGCAAACUCCUAAUGAGACAAAAACACAUACUUCCUCUGGCGGUGAAGAACAUUUCCUGUCACAGGUUAUUUCUUACCUCUGAAAUUGCAGGAAGAGAACUUUUUUUUUUUGUGCAUUAAAUUUACUGUCUAACCUCCUUUCUACAUUUUUACGUUGAAAACUUUAGCCUUCUCAAUAUGUUGUGUCUGUGGAUGCUUACUCUUUGCAGGUCACGGUUAAUGACAUACCUAUCGAUACUGCAGAGAGUGAUGUCAUUUUAGAUAAUGAUAUCUUUGAAAAUCGCCACUCUUUCCUGAGUUUCUGUCAGGGAAACCAUUACCAGUUUAAUACUCUUCGCCGUGCCAAGCACUCGUCAAUGAUGAUCUUGUAUGAUCUCCACAAGCAGAUGCCAUUUACUAUGGUGACAACCUGCAGUAUUUGCUUUAGAGAUAUCAUGAUUGGAGCAGGAUGGCAUUGUGAGAGUUGUCCUAGCUUUGACAUUUGUAUUACAUGCUACCAUAAAAGUGGCAAAGGUUGUCAUAACCACAAGUUGGUCCAGCAUUUGACUAAAAAUCAAGCACAGCGGAAGAAAGCAUUUCAGGUAUAUCUCUGAAGUUUCUAUUUUGAUGGUUUCUAAUUCUCUAGUUAUCAGCAUUUCAGGUAUAGCACAACUAGAAAAGAAUAGUGAACCCUCAGAGUGGCCUGGCAUAGGGAUGGCUGCCUUUGGGAUUUGGGUGAAACCUUCCUGCAAGUUAGCCCAAACACCUAAUAUCUCGCUGGUAGAGUUUGUUGCCUAUUGCACAUGCCAGUAUACCAGCUGCAUACCCAAAGUGUAGUGGCUGAGGGUUUACCACUAUAUGUUAAAAAAAAAAAAGAAUGAAAAAAAGAAAAGAGAGUAGGUAUCUGUGUAUUUUAUAAUGAAACUAAACAAGUUUCUAACUUUGCUUAGGUCCAUUUUGUUGAUUUGGAGAAAUAAUAUCGUUCUUUAUCGAUUCAUGUACAUGGUGCAGGUGGAAGUUCUAAAUGCAUUAGAUCAAGCCUCUCAAUGUCAUGUGACAAGAAGCAGCCCUUGCUCACACCCUCGGUGUCUUCAAGUUAGAAAGCUUUUUCAUCACUCAAGUCAAUGCAAAAUUCGGCAUGCAGGGGGUUGUCAGUACUGUUGGAAAGUAUGGUUCAUGAUACGUACACACUCAAGGGUGUGCAAGGAUUCCAGGUGCCCAGUGCCACGAUGCAUGUACGUUACAUUUGCUAUAUGCUAUAUGGUGCAGCCUAUACUUUCUUGCUUCUAAGUUGCAACUUUUUUUGACCCACAUUUCUCAUUAUCCAGGGAUGUUAAAGAGCAAACUGAAAUGUGGUCAAGGAAGUCAGAGAUGCGCAGAAGGGCUGCAGUCAAAAGUUUAAAACUGCUUGAGGUUUCAUGCGACAGUUGAUUGCCUGAUGUACAUGUGGCAGAAUCAUCUUACUUAUAAAACAGUUCAAAGGCCGUAACAGGACUUUUUUGUGUAGUGAUAAACAGAAACUAGGUUUCAAGAAUCUGGUCCAUUAUUGGUUGACAAAGCUGCUCCCUGUCAUGGGUGGAUAAGAGUCACAUUAGCUUGCAGACUAUGCUCAGAAAUUCUUGGGCAAUUUUGCUUACAGAUAAACGAGAGGAAACUGUAUAUAACAUAGAUUAGGAUAUCAUAGGUAACAAUCUUCUAAUAAUUAAACUUACCUGUAAAAAGUGAUCCAGAACAAAGUAGUUUCAGCUUGAGUCCGAUAUGGCCUGAUAAAGUAGGUUCACAUUUGUAUUUGUAUAAUUCUGUUAGCUUUCUCGGCUGUCUAGUUCUUCUUCUAUCUAGUGGCAUCAUCGAGAUGAUUCUGGAUGUAUGGGUAUUUGAUGUAUUAAAGUUUUAUUUUUUCUUUUUUGAACACAGAUUGCAGCAGAAGCUGUAUGUAUGCAUGAUUUCUUCAAAUAAAGAUAAAAGAUUAUCUUAGGUCUCCUUCCCAUAUUCGGGAAUAAGAAUUUGACUUUAUUUGUUUAUCAUGGUUUUGUUAUGGCGAUGAAUAGUUAUACCCCUAAAAGGAAAAUCGCUGGCUGUUCAUUAUCUGCUUGAUGUUGCCAUCUGAAUCGGCCUUGAGUCAUUAAAAAAUACAAAGUGAAAUAACUUUAAAUAAUUUGUGCUCACACCACAAACACAAUCAGUCGAGACUCUAAUUAAGAAAAAGUAUUACAACUACACUUUUCGGAUGGUCAAGCUGGAUCUGAUUUUCCUUUCUUUAUUAUCUUUUUAUUACUCUUUUUCAAGUAUGAAAAUGUGCUAAAACGUUCAUUUGAUCUAGAUAAAUGUGUCUCUCCUCUAGUCUCUUACACAAUUCAAUUGGUUUCUCUUUCCUUGUAAAAAUAGGAUAGUAUAGAAUUAGGAGUGUCAGAGAAUCAAUCAAAUUAAUAACCCGACAAAACAUGCUUGCUUCCAUCGUCAGUCUCACUACCUCUCAUUUCACUUUAGAAACCCUCUUUUUCACUGUCUAUUUUUUUUAGAUCAUCUCACCUAAAUUGAGUGUUCGAUUGAGUUCAAGAUCGAGUUUAAAUAUGCUUGAGUUAAAAAAAUGCAUGUUCAAUAAGUUCGAACUCGAGUACAUACCUAUCGAGGAUCGAGUUCGAGUUCAAGUAAAGUGACGUUCGAGGUCGAACCGAUAGAUUACACCGUUGCUGAUUGACCGGAAAAAAAAAUAUAUAUGAACAUGUGCUUAUCACUACACGCAUGAAUGUGAAACGGUUAUAAGUUGGGUUUAGACGAAGCUCCUCUUUCUCAUUCGGGAGAAUCGGGACAACAGCAACACAGCAAUUUAUUACUACUAUUUUGGGAAUUUGGUUGUUUGAACUCGAAAAGUUAAUGUUAGCAGACCAGGAAAAAAAAAUAUAUAUAUAUAUAUAUAUAUUUUUUUUUUGGUGCGCAUGCGCGGCUUUACACUCCUAUACCUUGAGAUUCACCAAAUUCUUACUAGAUUCUUAAGUUUCGCUAGAGGGGCUUUGAGGAGGUGAAAAGACAAAUAGAUAAAAAGUCCCUGGAAUCCGUCCAGAAUGUCCAGCACCAACCAUUGACACCAGAACAUAAAUUGUACCAAGGACCAGAAUAAAUACGAGAACAGAGCAUCCUUGGCAUUGAGAAGUCUAUUUGAUGGUGAAGGCUGAAGCUUGGAUCUUCAACCAAAGUUCAUCAAACUUUCAAAGGAAAACAUUCUAAUCUUUCUCCAUUUCUCCUCUCCCUAUCCUUCCAUCCAGACGAGUGGCAGCUAUUGUUAGAUGUAGAAGAAAACCCAAUGGUUUUUGGUUGCAGAAAAAUGAGCUUAUUUCAUAUAUGAACGAAUCAGCCUUAGCUCUGUAUCAUCUUUUGCCUUUCCAGGAGUCUGGUAGGGAACAAUAUCACAGUCAAUGAGCAUGUAAAUGGCUACAUAGCCUAAAUGCUCUGUGCAGCAGUUCAUGGUAAAAAAUGGACAAAUUUGAAUUUAGAUGAUUAGGACUAGAUGUUGAACACUAUUUUCAAAAAGUGAUAAAAUUUGUCAUGUUUUUGCAAUUUGUUCUUUUAUUGUCAACAUUUGUUGCUUUAACGUCUAACAGUAUCUAUUGUGCUAGCUCUUGAGCUGCCCAAGUAUAUAGUGUCAUAACUAGAAGAGAGAUGCCCGAUACAGGUGCCACGAAAAUGCUACUGCAGAAAAAAACAAACCCUAUACCACCUGUACAAUCAAGAACAUAUAAUAGUUUUGGGACGAUGCAAAUUUUUGGCUGUGGGAGGCCAAUUCGCUCCAAAUAGAUGGCAAGAUCUAAUUUACGACCACCAAAUAUUUAGGAGUCCAUCUACACAUUUGGGUCCUCGAUAGGCGCAAGUAUCAUAAAGGUUACGUAUCAAAAAGUACAAAAGUGAGACGGGCCUAAGCAAGCCUUUGACACAAACAAUUAAGUAAAUCAUGAAAUCAGAGUUAAGAAACACCAGUUCACUGUUUGUAUAUAGUGGCCAUGAUCACUACAGUUAUCGACAUUUCAAUUGUCAAUCAAUAGAGGCCCCCACAUCCCUAAUAAUAACAAAAGGGCAAAACCAAAAUACUCUCAUCUAAAUUGGCUGUCGUCAUUGACUAACCUCCUAAAAUAAUGCACACUACUACUACUACUACACAAAAGAGACCUCUAGGCAGCAAAAGUAGAGAACUCCUAGGGAACAUUUAGGGCAUGCACUGUCAUGUUGUAAGGAAAUUCCACACUUUCUUCGCAACGGAUACUUCACCAGGGUGAUCAAACUCGUCCACCUCAUCAUCCUCUUCGUAUUCGAGAGGUUGACCUUUGUUCUCCACAUAUCUGUCCUCUCUCGCCCUUUCUGGGGUCCCAUUUACCUCAUCCCUCGUAUCAAACUCAACUUCAACAGUGUCACUGACACCAUCUUGAGCAACUGUUGCAUCUUUUAACUGUCACAAGAGGGUAGAAAUGGAUCAGUGUUAGCAAUAAACGUAACUACAAACUGCAUGUGAUCCUCCACAUGAUCAAAUCGAUUUUCAUCAGGGUUCCUCAAUACCCCUCUUACCAUUGCUACAAGAAACAUAUUGAAAGAAAAAUGAUGGAGAGCCUGGACAAGUGCCUACAGAAGAAGGUGUGCAUAGAAAAGUAUAAACAAAAUCCUUAUCAUUCAGUUCCCUACUCCAGAAGGGAUUAGGGCUGCCAAUUUCCAUUUUCUCUAAAGCCUAUCGGCACUCCAAACAUUUCCGGCAUCAACACCAAACAGAAUUUCCAGUUCAUGGCAAACCAUCUCAAGGCUUCAAAUACAUAAUCUAAUGCUCAGCAAGAGUAAUGGGUCACGCGCACACGUGUGUGUGUGUGUGUGAGAGAGAGAGAGAGAGAGGGGGGUACCAUAACAGGACUGUCUGCUGAAAACUCAUGGGCAGUAGGGAUGCUUUUUAUCUCACCACCAUCUCCUUUAGCACCCUCAGAAGCAGAGCCUGCAGCAUCAGAAUCUCGAAUUUCUUCCACCGAAAUCCCAGCAACUUCAACAUUAUUGGAACGUGUGGCUUUAGAACCAGUUAUUUGUUCUACAUGACUACUAUGUCCACCAAUUUCUCUAUCUUUCUCCUUGCUGGGAUCAGACAAGACUCCAUUAGCAGCUGCUGCAGCUGCACUGGACCACAACAAAUGCCUUUUCAGUAUUUAAGAUUGAUGGUUGAAGGAUGAAACAAAAGGCAGGGGAUGGGGUGUAACACAAUGCAUGUGAAAUAAGAAAGAUGGCAAAGAGAUGUUAUUUGUCAUUAAAUUAAACUCGUGAAUGAAAACUGGUGGUCCAAAAAACAGGAUCUGGAAUUCCUGUAGCAUCUGGAGUCUAAUUUAGUUUUCAAAAGGUCACAAACCAGACACAAAUAAAUACUAUACGUUCAAAUAAAGCAACAUACCUUCUAGGUCGCCGGAGAUUGUAUCGUUUUUCACCAAGAGUUUGAACAGGUGGUGCUACUCUUCGUCUCCUUUUCCGGUGCCCUUCACCGGUGACGCUACCAGAAUAUCCACUAUAUUCACCAUCAUGCUCGCUGGGGGUUGCUUGUGAUGUUUGUGUGAGGUUUCUCUUUCUUCCGUUUACCGCUGCUCCUGAUUCUCCACGACUUUCUUCGUUAACAAAAAUAUUGCCAUUAACACGCUGACCAUCGCUCUCAACAAAAGCAUCCUCAUCAAUAACCCUGCGGCGGUCUGCAACAGACACCUUCCCAGACCCUUCUCUAUUAAUUUUAGGCCUCCCUCUCUUACCAUGUCUCCUCUUCUGUACCUUUGGAUUAGAAUGCUGGGACCUACGGUCAUUAACUGAUGGAUCUGGACCAGCUUCGAACUCCCUGGUGCUGUUGUCAGACUGAAUUCUUUGGAUAUCAAGAGAAUCUUCUGCAACUCCAAAAGAAAUUUUCGGUUCAUUUUCACUGCUCGGCAAUGUUUUUCGUGAUUCUACAUUAACAAGACUCCCAGGCAAGGAAGCUCCGUCAGUCAGACCUCGAGCAGCAGUAAAUUCAAUCUUUUUGCCGGGCGAGAAUCUGAAUAUGCUUGAAGUACACUUUCGAAGCCAUGAUAUAGUCCCACCAGAAGCUGGGGAACCUAAUUCAACUGCGCUGGGGGAUAUCUCUAUAUUUUCUGUCUCAGAAUUGCCAUGAGCAGCCCCCCUCAAAUAAUUCUCAGCUAUUUUUGGCAGCACAGGUGCCUCUAGAUUGUUGAUCCCAUCCAAAGAUUGAAGAUCAGAUGUCACAAACUCACGAACUAAUUCUGCACAACUUUCGCAACUCUUCUGCUUGUCAACAAAAGCAACAAAUCUUUCUCUUUCUUUGACAAGUUGUUCUCUCUGAUCUUUCAACUUCUUACUAAGAACAACAAGCUCAUCAAUAUCCUUGCGCAUUUCACCAUGCUGCACCUCAAGCUGCUUCUUGUUUGCAAAAAUUUCCUGCUUUUCAUUCUCUAAGGCAUGUCUUUUGACCUUCAACUCUUCCAUUUCUUGAUGGAUUGCAUUCUUGAGAUUAUUGAUGUUGUUAAGUUCCCUUUCUCUGUCUUGUUCAAAAAAAUUCUUCAUCUCAUGCAGUUGAUUCUCCAUCUCUUCCUGCUUCUUCUGCAUAUCAGACUCAAGUUCCCUUUUCCGGAUUUCAAAAUCAUCCAGCAUUUUGCUUCUCUGACUUUCAGUUUUUUCAGCUAGUAUAGUCCUUUCAUGCUCCAUUGUGGCAGCAAAUGAAUGCCUAGCCACUUCAAGAGAUUCCAACUCUCUUCUAACAUAAUUCUCAGUUUCCAAUUUCUCAUUUUUCAACCUUUCCUCUUCAGCCCAUCUCAUUUUUUCAAAGUAGUUUUUCUGUUCGGCAAAAUCAGCAAGUUCUUUCUUAACCUCAGUUUGUUUCACAUCCAGCUCUUCCCAGUCUUUCUCAAAUCUUAAUCUUUCCUGCUUCAAAUCCUCAGCCUCCUUUAGCAGCAAUUCACUUUGGAGCCUACAUUUGUCUAUCUCUUGUUUGAGUUCUAACUGUAGCCGAGCAUGUUCAGAUCUUUCAUCUACAGUUACUUUCAGCUGCUCCAUUUCUUCACGAAUCUUCAAUUGCUGGUUUUCUAUAUCAGAUCUUGUUUUCUCAAGCUCAAUCUUGAGAACAAGCAAACUCUCUUUUUCAGCAAGAGUUUGCUUCCUCUCAGUCUCCAUGUCCUUUUCCUCAACUUUCAAGGACUUCUCCCUUUCUUUCAAAGCUUUUAACUUCAAUUCAAGUUCAUUCUCUCUCUCUCUCACUUUCUCUGAUUUCUUCUCCAAAGCCUGUUCUCUUUUCCUGAUUUUCUCUUCCAUGUGUUUAAGUUCAGCUUCCUUCUUGAGCACUUCAGCUGCCUUAUUUUCCAUGUCCAGAUACAAAGAUUUCCUUCUCUGUUCCAUCUCCAAUUCAAACUCCUUUUCCUUUGUAUCCAAGGUUGUCUUGUGUUCAUCUAACAGUUUCUGAAUUUCCACCUGAAGACACACCCAUGGUAAAAGAAAAAGUCAAAAGCAUGACUAUGGCAUACAUAAGAAAAUACUUUCCAGCAGGCAGUACCAAAAGAAGCAAGAGGAAGCAAAAUAAGGUCUACAAACAUUAUAAUUGCAUUAGAACCCUAAUCAUACUAGAUCAGUUUCUACAAUGGUCCAGGAAAAGAUUUAAUAAAGAAAACAACAGAGUUCAAAAUUUACAUGUUCCAAAACUGAACCAACUCCAAGGAUCAAUUUUGAAAGAGUAUUGAACAAACAAACAUGACUAAAAGCAUGAAAAGCUUUGGUGCUAAAAAUCACUAUCUAUUUACAAACUACUUAAACUACACAAAGCCACAGCAGUAAAACAAAGAUAAGAGUAUGUCCUACCAUCAAAUGUCUCAAUGUUAAACUGGCAAAGGCAAUCAGGUAAACAAAUAAACAAAGUACAAGUACUCACUUUCUCUCUCAUAUUUAGCUUUUCCUCUAGUUCAAUCAAUUGCUUCUCCUUCAAUUCCAAGCUAUUUCUCGUUGUAUCAGCUUCCUGCAACAAAGUAAACACAGAUAAAACAAAAAAGGACCAAUUAAGGAUUUAAGAGUAGGCAAGACGAGAAAGAAACUUACCUUCUCCAUCGAAGACAGACUUGCUUGGCGGCAGCUCAUGUCUUCCUCUUUUUCCUUCAGACUUAAAUUGGCUACAUCAACCUUCUUCUGCACAUCUUCAAGUUCUUUCUGUUUCUGCUUCCACAGAUUAUCAUACUCAUUUGCCCUCUUCUCUCUCUGAUGAAGCAACCUUCGAAGUUCAGCAAGUCUUUCUUCUCCCUCCUGUAACUUUUGUUCCCACUCUCGCAAGUCUUCCCUUUGUUUGGACAAAGAUGACUCAUGCAUGUCACGCCUGGAAAAAGAGGAGAAAUUAUCAGUGAGAAACAACAUAUUAUUGUCAACGUAAGGAAUUCACCAGUCAAUUAAGAGAACCCGAACAGAUUCACGAGACACAAAGAUAAAGGAAAUGAAGCAUUUGUAAACAGUGAAACAUACUCUGCAGCAAAUGAUGACCGCUCCCGUCGAAGUGCAAUUUCUUGAGCCACCAAUUCCUGAGACUUCCUUUCAAUUUCUGAACUCUUUCUGUUCACCUCAGCAAACUUGGCAUCUGUUGCAUGCAAUUUCGCUUCUACCUCCAAAGAUUUCUGUUCAAUGCUAGCAACCAAAGAUUCUGCUUCAGCCAAUUUUGAAUCAGCUGUGAAUUUAAUUUCAGCAUAUUCCGAACGCAUCUCGCGUAGGGCUUUCUCUAACUGCAGUAAUUAACAACCAACAAUAACCUUGACUAAGAAUAACCAUGUACUUAAAUGAAAGCAUAAACUUAAUAUCGCUUCCUAAUCUUUUGUAGUUAAGCAUGAAAAUAGGUGGUCAAAAAUGUAUAAAACUUCCCCAAAGUGUCGCCAAACUACUGAAAAAAGUGUCAAAGAAAAUAAUCUUCUGAAGGCAAAAAAAAUCAGCAUGGACUAGUAGAAAAUUCUUCAAAAAGGAAAGAAGAAGAUAUCAAUUACAAAUGAAAUAGCAAAGAAGAAAUCAUACAUCAAGCACACACUGCUUUUCAAUACCCAAUGCAUUCCUCAAAUUCUCUUCACGCUUCUCCACUUCAGUGAUGGCAAUGAAAUGUGCAGAUUUCUCUCUUUUAUAUGCAUCAUCCAAAUCUGCUAAAGCUCGCUUUAGUUCUUCAUACUUGCAAGUCCACUCCUUUUUUUCAAUCAAUAGGAGGCCCAUAUUGUACUGGUAUUCCAAAAGCUGUGAACAAAUCCACCAGUCAGGCCGAAAAAAAAAAAGGGUAUAUAACACAAUCAAGGUUCCUUUUUAAUCUCCCAGGACAGCCUAAAAGAAACUUAAUGUGCAUAACCAGAUGGCAGUAAACAAAUAUACAGACGGAAUCAAAUGCAGAAUCAGGAGCAUACGAAUUGCAGGUUUAAAACCAUAACUGGCAUAAAAUCACAGCAUCUAGUCACUGGAGAUAACUCCUACAAGGUAAUACAACGUAGAGUGCAGGUGCAUCAAAACGAAGCUCUGCACCAUUAAGGAACUCAAAUACUACUAGAACAUUGGUCCUACAACAGUCACAUAGUUAAUCAUUUUUAUCUAACACAUUAAGAUAAAGCCAAUUGCACUAAAAAAAAAAAAAACCAAGAAGGUCACAAGAUCAUUAAACUAUCGGUAAAUCGCACAAAAACUCAAAGCAAAUCACUCUAACCCAACAAGAAAAAAAGAACAAAAAAAAGAAGUAAAUUUGCAUUUGCUGGUGAAGUAAAUGUUCUUACUCACCUCAUUUUCAAGCUUGCUAAGCUUGUCGCAAACCGCUUCCUUAUCCAACUCCGCAUACUUUUCAGCAGCCAAACUGUCGGGAGUAGAUUCAAUAAAAAGCAACCCUUUGUCCUUCCCAACAGUAGUCUCCCCAUUUCUAGGGCUGGAAUUGCCCGGUGCAGAACCAGACGCAAUUGCCGACCCAUUCUGUUCCCUCCUCGGAUUGAGCGACCACCCUGACCAUGGCUUCCUCUGCGGCGUAAACAUCGCUUAAAUUUCCGAAAUUGAUCCUCUGGAAUUCCUCAAACUCCAGAUCGCGGAAUUCAGGAACAACUUCAUAAGAAGAACAAAGUCUGAGUUUUUACAGUAAAUUCGACAGUCUGUUAGUAUCAGCAAGGAUGAAAGGGAAAGGAAAAACCCUUAAAUUGUGAAGUAAACAACACAAAAAACCCUAGCCGGACGUGAACAGAGUUCCCAAACUCCGGCCAAUAUGAAAGGGGUGAAACCCGAUAACGUCUCAAAACCAACUUCCACUCUUACUUUCUCUCUCUAUCCCUCCGCCUUUUUUUCCAGAGCCACCUUUGUGGUGUGCGCGGAUGCCUCACGUUCUUUCCCUUUUUUAUUUUUGCUUUGUUUUUUAAGUCCUCUUGAUGGCCCGACAGCAACUCCGAUAUGUGAAUUUACCUCCGCUCUCCUCAUUUUAUGCGGUCUUUUAUCCGUUAAUCAGGGAUAUUUUUGGGAAUUCGCUCGGCCGCCUUUCGGUUACAACGUGGGUUCCGACAGUUUCCUCGUAUAGUGACGAAAGGGUCCCCGGAUUGUUCAAGUCACUACUGAAACGGGGGAUGGUAAAUUUGGGGAACUGCGGGGAUGAGAUGGUCAUUGAAGGAAAAGGAAUAUACUGAAUUGAAAUGCCAAGGUGUUGAUGUGCUGGUUGGAUCAGGUCAGGAGCUUUGGGAAUGAGGCGCCUGGCUUACGCUGCAGAAAAGCAAAAGCGGGGAUAAGUACCUCAUUCUUUCUUUCUUCUUACAAGUAAUCGGUAAUCUAAUCUCCUGUGUCCCAUGUGGCUUCAAUGGGGGUUCGUGAUGGGGCCGGGCUGGGCUGGGCUGGGAACUUCCUGUUUUUCUCUAUGCUCAUUUCUUUCUCUUCUUUAUUUAUUUUUUUUUUUGUCUGUAAGCCCCUUUGCUCAUUUCUUGUUUCUGUCUUUUUUUUUUUUAAGGUUGUUACUGUCUUUUUCAUUAAUAAGACUUUAAAUGAGUCAUAUCUUUUAUGGCUUGGGGAUCAAGGAAUAAUUAAAUAAUGAAUUCUAGUCGAAAUCAGCAAAAUAAAUUAUUGUGAAGCAAGUACCAAUUAUGUCUGUUCUAUGAUAACUCAGUUGUAAUGAAUUGUGAUUAGAUUGGACCAUCGGAAGUGUUAAUUUAUUAACUCUACAUUUGAAGAAGUUUGAGCAUAGAAGAGUUCCCUCUUUUUUUUUUAGUUGGAACAGAUUAUGAGCUGUCACCCAUAAAGGGUGACUAACAUUAACUCCAACUUAAAUAGAUCGAGGCCUCCUUUUAAUCAAAUUAAGUUUAUUUUUAUCAAAAAAAAAAUUAACACAUGAGAUGAGAUUCCUCUUAAUGAUCUCCAAUACAAUAUCAUUUUAUUAAACUCUUAAUUAGAUAUAUAACCAAGUGCAAUAUGCACCACAUCAUAAAAACGAGGCUAAGAAGUCUUGAUGACCCUUGAACUUUUAGUGCGUAAAGUUUUAGCUCUUGAACAAUAAUUAUGAAAUUUUUGACCUAUGAUCUAUCAAAUGUGCAAACCAUUGAUCCCUCAAAUUUCAACUGUUAUCUUUGACGAAAACACUAUCAAGUGCGAUGGACGAGGAAAAUCAAGAACAAUAUAAUAUAUCUCUCUCUCUAUCUCUCUUUUCCAACUCUCUUUCUGAGUUGAAUCUCGAAAUGAAACCUAACAAAUAGAGGAGUUGGAGGAAAUUUUUGCAAAAACCAGAAAGCUGCUGUUUAAAUUAGCCCACAUGGGCUUCCAUGUCCAGCCCACCCAAGCCUUAACCAAAACCGCAAUCCAAAGAGGAGCAGUGAACAUUAUCAACCAACACAAGUUGGUUCAGUUGGCAAGAAUAAGUUACUUCUUUAUAAAAUAUCAUGUGUUCGAAUUCCGCUGCUGAUGUGAGAACUGUGUUGAUGGACGAUCUAUAAGUACCUCUAUAAGUGACUUAUGGUCCUAGAGGCCGAGUCAGUGACCGGAGUUGAAUCUACCCUUUUUUUUAACAAAAAAAAAAAAAGCAAACAUCAUCAACUUCGUUAUGGCAUCCUAGAUAGAGGAAACCCUUGAAAUAUCUCCAACAAAGCAAUAUGUACCAAAACCAUCCUGUAAUGUUUUAAUGAUACCACAGAUAAUUCAUUCCCUUAAAUCAAGAACUAAAGAAUUCUUCCAGAAACAUCUAAAUUAAAAGAUCUUAUCCUUGAAAAGAAAAAAAAAUCUAGAUAAAAUUGCAGAAGGUGUAGCCUUUAAGCACAACAACGAGUUAAGGGUUUUACAAAAAGAGAAAGACAAAAAAAAAAGAUAAAAGAUAACAAAAAUUUUAGAAAACAGAGGAAGAAAAAAAUAUGAAAAGAAGAGUGAGUGAGAGAGCGUCAAGACAAAAUGUCUCUCAUUGGCCCUUGAUUUUAUGUUGUCAUGUCGCAUUUGAUGGUGUUUCCGUCAAACAUGACUGUUCAAAUCAACAGAAGGAUCAACGAUUUUCACUUUUGAUAUAUUGAGAAUCAAAAGUUUCAUAAUAAUUAUUGGAGGGUUAAAACUUUAUGCAACUAAAAGUUUAAGGGUUAGCGAGACUUUUUGCCCUAAAAACUAACAAUUGAGCACCCUAAGGGAUUGUCCAUUGAAUAUACAAACCACUAAUUAAUUGCCCCUAAUAAUGUUACUUCUCUAACCAACUCCGAGUUGCUCACUAGGUGAAAUAUAAAGUACAAGUGAAAUACAAAGGAUAUGCAUCACCCGUUCGGUCUAAAUAGGAUUCUCUCCCUUCAGCCCUUUUUGAUCCAAUUAGGCCCUUUUUAGUAUAGGAUAAAUUAGGAGUAGGAGUUGCUGAUUGACCCCAAAUACAUAAUAUAUACAUAUAUAUAUGUAUAUAUAUAUAUCACUUUUCUAAAAGGGUAACACUCCAAAUGGGCUGAUUUCAUAGGUAAAGGAUUACAUGCACAAUCCACUGUGGCGUGGGGUUGGGAUGUCAUUGGGCUGACUUCACGAAAGCCCGAUAUGCAUGUCCAUGUGCAAUGGCCCAGACGACCGACAACGCAUAGGAUUAAACUCAGCCGACGUUGAGCAGGGUUAAGAGCUUACGACAAGAGACGUAAGGUAGAGUGGACUUUUUUUGGAGUCCAGCGUGGCACAUGAAAGUCUAAAACUGAUGCUUCCUCGUUGCUACUAUGAAGAACAAAAGACUCUUGGAAAUCCAGAGAGAGACGUGGUGACCACAUCCUGUAUAUUCUUUUCUUCAAUAGAAGAUCAGUUCUCGUGAAAAAUUUGUUGUCCUACUAAUUCUCAGAGCUUUUUUGCUUUUUUUUUUUGUGAAAACCCUAGUCUCUGUAAAAAUCUGCAAUAGGCAACAGAAAAUUCAUAUUCAACUCUUUAGUUUAAUACGGGAAAAUGGCGGUACCGGUUGUGAGAUUUCCGAUAUACGGAGUGGUGAGGAUACUGGGGAUAGCAGUGACAGUAACAGUGCUAACGUGGACGGUUCAUUACAGAGGAGGAUUGGCCCUCGUCUCCACCAAUAAAGACCUCAUCUUUAAUGUAAUUACUAUUCCACUUCUAUCUAUUGUUUUUUCCUUUUCCUUUUCCUUUUAUGGGGAAUUCCCGAAAAUUUCAAUUAUUUCUUUCUUCCAAUUAUCGACUUAUUUGCCACCUGCAUUCUAUGAAUCAAGCACCGGUGGAUCCUUUUAUUGUUUCUUUUGGGCUUUGAGGGGUUUUAGCAUUGAGUUUUGUCCUCUAUGGAUUGUUCCGGAUUGUUUAUUGAAUUUUGGUUUUUCAUGUUUUGUUCAGGUUCAUCCAGUUUUGAUGGUGAUUGGCCUGGUACUUCUAAAUGGUGAAGGUGAGAAUCUUCGUUUGAGUACUGAACUAAGGAGUAAUCGACCUCUCCCAUAUUAAUCCUAUCCUGAUUUGUUCAUUAUUGAUUCAUUUCAUUCAUCAUGUAUUCAGGAGCACGCAUCUGUAUUGCUUUCUGAUAUCUUCGUAAGUAAUUGGUUUCUUGAGGUUUAGUUUUCAUCAUUUGUGGAGGCCUAUUAGCUGUCAGAUCAACACCUUAAAUCGAAAGGCUAAUGUUUAAUUUUAUUGAAUCUUCAAUCUAAGAAAAAUUUGGUAACUGGUAAUCACAUUAAUCCUGAACACGUCUAAUUUGUUGCAAUGUUGGAGGCUGCCUAAUGCCUAGACUUACGGCUGGUUGAUUUGCAUUUCUAUUUCUUAAGUUUGUUGAGUCAUUCACCGAUAUUACAGUCUCCCAGCUAAAAGAUGAAGUCCAGAUAGCAUUUGUAGUCGAGGCCUGAUAAGGAAUGUGCUGUAUCUGUGGUGAUAUCCGGGCUACAAGUUGGCACCUGGAUGACUUGCAUUGUCAUUUCCCAAUGGGUCAUUUUUGGGAGUUAAGUUAUGAACCCCAAAUAGGUGUCGUAGAACAGGCUUGGUACGCAAUGUACAUCAUCAAAAGCCUAAUUUGGACACCCAUACCAUGUCUUUUGCUAAUCUCUGUCAAUCUGCAUCAAAUUCUGUUUUUCUAGUUUUAAUGUUUGUGUUUUUCAUAUGGAUAACUAACUUCCUGAACCAUUAAGGCAAUCUUUUCCGUGAUAAGUAAUAGUUUUUCUCAGAAGUUUCAGAAAUUUACACGCAGCUAUAUCAUCAAGUUAUUAAAGAAACUGCUAAGAACUUUAUAAGAACUAUUCCCAGUUUGUCAGAUAUCUAUAUUUAUGUCAGUUGUCAUGAAUAUUCUCGAGGCUUGUCUGUUAAUCUGGUGAUGGAUAUCGCUUUUUCAAAUGUGUUGGCUUGUAAUACUUCUUAAUGUAGUCUACGUAGCUGAUGUUGUCAGAAAUGUGGUUUUUAAUUACUUUGUCAAUUCUUGCAGCUAUGCUGGCAUACAAGACAGUCCCCGGAACAAAAAGCUUCAAAAAAUUAGUUCACCUCCUCCUGCAAUUCUUGGCCCUCUCUUUUAGUGUAAUUGGCUUAUGGGCUGCAUGGAAGUUUCACAAUGACAAAGGAAUCGACAACUUCUACAGUCUUCACUCGUGGCUGGGUUUAGCUUGCCUUUUCUUGUUUGCCAUUCAGGUGCUUCUAGGAGCUUUUUGUUUUGCCUUCCCAUUCACCCACCCUCUCACCCCCCAACCCAAGUCCACAUCUGUUUCCUCCUUUAUGUUCUCCUAAAAUUUGCACCAUGAUUGUUGAUGGAUUAGUAUUUCAUGACCGCAUAUUAAAUUAUUACGUUCUGUAGUGCAGUGGGCUGCUGGAUUUGUAACGUUUUGGUAUCCAGGUGGUUCAAGGAACAGCAGAGCUAGUCUGCUGCCAUGGCACGUGUUCUUUGGCGUCUAUAUAUAUGCGCUUGCUAUUGCCACUUGCACUACUGGUAUUCUAGAGAAGGCUACAUUUCUUCAAACCAACCAGAUCAUGUCACGCUACUCCAAAGAGGCAUUGUUGGUAAACUCUUUAGGGAUCUUGAUUGUUGCUUUGGGUGGUUUUGUAAUUCUUGCUGUCAUCUCACCUGCUAACGGUAAAAGUGAUGUUACAAAAAGCACAGUGGAGUAAGCAUUGACUGGAAUGCUUUUGAAACCUUUUGAGGUUUAACCUGCUUCAUGCCUUUGGGGUGAAUUUGUAAAGAAUAGAAAGUUUUCAGGGUUGAUAUUGCAAUAAACAUUUCAUCGGCUGCCAAGCCGAUGGUAUUAAAUACAGGAUUGAGUUCUGCCAAGCCAUGUACUCACUGCACUGAGAUUCCAGCAAGCUUCACGCCUCCGCAUUCCGCACCCUUUCUUUGCCCGUAUCAGGCAGGUGUACCUUCAUGCAUGACCUUCGACACAAGUGCACCUGGUUUCCUUGCCUCUACUUCUACGGUUUCCAGCGUCCAUUUUUUGCCUUAAAGAGGUACCAAACUUGUCAUGGGAUUUGACUUUUUUGACAGGGCAAUUGCAUGGUUCAAAAUUGAUAUAUUAUUGAAAAAUAGCUGCAGCAUCCUCUUUAUUUUUUUGAUGAUAUUACUAAUUUUUUGAUAGUUCCAAAUUCAAGAUAGAUCGAAAAAUGUAGUGUAUUUUUUUCAUCGGAACAAUAUAUUAAAUCGUCCACUCCUUUUUGUGCUUGAUGAAACUUUGUAAGUAUGCUCCGGCGAUUUUUUUAUUUUUUCAAAAAAAACUCUCGUACAUUUUAAAACACCAAAAAUAGGCAGGAUGUUGCAGUCUUUCCGUGGUUAAACUCAGCGACGUAUCUCAAAUCUACAAAAAAGUGAGGUGCCCCGGAAAUAGUCUAGCGGCGGAUAGAAUGUUAAACUAACGACUUUAUGGAGAGCAAAAAUUGCAAAUUUCCUUAAGAGGGCUAGAAAGCUCAUAACAACGUACAUAUUUUCCUAAAACUGCUCGGAGAGGCGGACGAAACGCACUCUUCACAGAGUCAGGUGAAAAUAGAAUCAAACCAAAAACAUAACGUACAUGGAAAAGACAACUCAUUAUUCCAAAAAAGAAAUCAAGGAGAAACUAAUUUGAAGUUGCUGAAGAUUGUCAAUAUCUCUCUGUCAUCCUCAAGAACCACCACUGAAGCUUCAAAUAAAUGUAUAGUAGGUGUUAUAUUCCGCUAUGUCCAUAGAUGUUCUCUGCGGUAUUCUCGAACAAUGACAGGUACGCUAGUGGGAGGUAUCUGGAAAUGUUUAAAGAUUACGGUUAGCAAAUUAAGGCAAAACGCCAUUUGGUGCAAACAUGCACAAUGCCACUAAGAUGAGGAUAUAGAGAGCGGAGGGAAGGGGGGCAUCAAGGAAAAAACACCAGGAUAUGCCCACGUAAGGACACAGGACAAGAUAAUAAAGGAAACGGGGCCAGAGUAGACUUCCUUGACUGCAUACACAAACAUUGUGGUGCAGCACAUGGUUCUCAAUUGAGUUAUUGCAAGCAUGUACCCCAGUCAUAUUAUAAGCAAUCAGGGAAGAUAACAAGUACUCUUUUCUUUCUAGUAAAUCUAUUAUAAAACUUACUAACACUUACCAUACCAUAAUCUGUGAUGAUCAUCGAAACAUAAUCUGAUGGUGUUGCAUCAUAACUGUUACAAUAAAAUUAAACAAUGAGCAUACAUAGGUUAUGGAUAUGGUACCCGAAAUCCAUGCGAUAACCACACACACACGCACCCCACCCCACCCCCCCCAAAAAAAAGAACCCUCACUUACAUGAGGUUCAAAAGCUGCAAAUUAUCACUAUUGGCCCAAUCAUCCAAAGAGUCAAUUUCUUUCCUACCAGGAACCUUUGCAAUCAUGUCUGGAUCACCUGCAGUGUUAUAAGGGCAGCUGAAUAGUAAGAAAAAUGAUGACACACAGCCAUAUUACAUUUUAAACGGAUUCCAUAUGAUUUGCAAAAGUAAAUGCAUACCAAGUUCAUUAGAGCAAAUUGAAUCGAGCUGCACCCUUUCAUGAAACUUAUAGGCUUCACAACAUAUAAGUACUGGAACUCGGAACUGGUGAGCAACCAUUGCAACACAAGCAGUGCCAACCCUCGAGUAAACCGUUCCAUUAGACAAUACUGAGGAAGCACCCAAAAAUACUCGAGUAACUUCAUGCAUUAUAUAAGAAACAGCAUUUAUGUGAGUGUAUGUACAGCUAAUACCCUUUCCUACCAAUCUGCGAAGUAACAGCUUCCCUUCAAGCUUUGGACGUGAAUCGACUACCACAACACGGAAAUUUUUGCCAAGCUCAUGGGCGUGUAUCAACAACAACUCAACAGCAGAGGAUGAUCCAUAUGUGAGAAGAACAUCGCCAUCCCUAAUCUUUGUUACAGCAUGUCUGACUAUUACCUUAUCAGCUAGAAUUAUCUUCUCAUUGAUAAAUCGAUCAAUAUCUGACAAAAGAAUUGCUUUUGCCUCUGAUUCAGACAAGGCCAAAGAUAAUUUGGCAAUUUUUGAUUUAAGAAAUCUAAUAGCAUUGCCCAUACUGAUUGAAAGGGGUCUGCACUCAAUCAGAAAAGAUACAUAAGAAUUUAUUUUCGAAGUCAAGUCCCUAAUAAGAGCUUUUUCAGGCGGUGUUGAGUAGUCUUUAAUUGACUCUUGAAAUGCUUGAAGCAUAGCAAUACAGCGCGCAUUGCCACCAGAUAUAUCACCAGCUAGAUACCUCAGACCAACCUGAUUAUAGGUACAUAAAUCACAACUAGUGUCAGGUCAAGAUCCCAACGAAAAUAGGAAAAAGAAAAUUUGAAAAUUGUAUUACACAUCAGAGUUGAUAACAGUUGCUGCCUCUCUAAUGGACCACAUCAGAUUAAAAUGUGAAUAUUUAGCCAAAAACUUUCAAACAUAAAUAUUUCCACACCCCACCCCCCCCCCCCAAAAAAAAAAAAAAAAAAAUAAACUUCAUGGUAUUAGUAUCCACAAAAGAUAAGUUCUUUAGCCUCACCUUAUAAACAGCAGGAUGAACAGGAUCUAGUUGAAACAGCUUCGAUUCAAGUUCAGGGAGCCUUGUUCCAUGUUCAUACUGAGGUAAAUGCCUAAACAGUUCAACCCUGUUCUUUGCUUCGGUCUGCUUAACAACAGAUCGUUUCUUUGCCUUCUCAACUCGGCUCUUAUCAUCAAACUGCAUACGGGGGUGAGGGACAUCCUUCUUCCUGUCUUUGUCUUGUGGACGAUCACUGCCUCUUUUUUCAGAAGCUGCAACAGGAGAGUUAUCCUUCUUCUGUGGAGAAGCCUUUGCAGCCUUCCCUGGGUUUGCAUUUGCUGAAGAACCCAAACCAGAUGAAGCAGCUGGUGUCUUACUACCAUCACCUGCCCAAUAAUUACCAAAAAAAAAAAAUUAUGCAAUUGCCUUCACGGAGCACAAAGGCAAUGUAUAUACCAAGAAAAGGAUGAUUUUAUUAUACUUGAACACAACAAUGGCCCAAAAAUACUAUGCUAUGAUGAGCAGUGAUAUUGGUUUGGACAAUAUAAAGCUGAUACUAAUGACAGUUUAUAAGAUCACCUCGAAAAAUUAAGCACACAAUGACAGCUAUUGAGUACUUGAGUCACUAAUUAAUGAAUAAAUGUCUCAUCACUGGUGUCAAUAAGAAUUCUAUCAGAGUACAACAACAGAAUUCAUUAAAGUUCUCAGGUGGAGGGGAAGCUACUUCCCGAAACAACAGUCAAGGUUCUAUUUAGCUUGGAAAAAAAAAAAAGAAGCUCUUUUUAGCUUGGAAAAAAAAAAGAAGCUCAGUAUCAUUAGCUUAGUAAAGGCACACUCUUUGAAUUAACCAGGAAACUGCAUUAGAAAAUGUACUUUCCAAAGAAAGUUAAGAGAUCGAAAAAGCACUCUACGAUCCUCGAUAUAGAAGAAAGAGUUCGGGAAUUACUAAAUAUGGGACUAUCGAAAUGCAUUCACUCGUGUACACGGAAACCUUUGACAGGACUCGGAAGAAAAAAAUCAAACUGGAACUUGAUAUGACCUUUAGUUGCAGCCUUUGCUGCUCGUUGAGCUUCUUGAAUUGCACGCCUUUCUGCUUUUGUGGUCUGCUCUUUCAGUGGCUUCAAACUGGCCUUGGAUCCCGUCUUCGAUCGCUCCUUCUGCACUUCAACACCAGCUCCGCCAUCUUUUUCUAUAUUUCGUCCAAAAAAAAAUUAUAGCAUCAACCACCCACGGAAAAAGAUAAGGCAAGGCCAUAGAUGCCCAAAAACCGUGCCGAAGCUUGAAGAAUAAUGGUGAAAUCCAGUAUAUCAAUGGGAGGAGAAGAUGAGAAAAUAUUUGCAAGGAUAGAGGAGAUAAUUUACCUGUUAUGCCAGGGGGCAUGUUGACAAUGGAGACGGUGGUUAAACUACUAGCCGGGAAAUUAUUCUGCUUAAGGGAUGACAUAUCAAAUCCACCAGCUGGCAGGGAGGAAGCAAAUUUACCAGAAUUGCUCCGGCGAGCAGUCCAAUUAGGGGAGAGAGCAUCGUCAGUGAACUCUGAGGCCGUGGGAGCGACAAACUCGGAGGGAUUGUAGCUGCCGACGGGGAUAGAGUCGCGGGCGGCCCGCAUAGGGGAGAGCGGGGCAGCAGGAGAGAAAUGGGGCCCGCGAGCAAGGUCGGCGGAAAGGUGACGCGGCGGAGGAAUCAUCACCGGGGACAGAGAGUUGCCGGAGGGGGAGAUUUCAGAGACAGGAGGGGAGGAGGAGGCCGGAUGGGGUGGACCAGAUUGGGACCGGUCGGGUGGUGCCCCGGGCGCGAAAAACCCGACUUGUCUGACCUUGGGGUCGCUCACGGCCCGCGGGACUCGGCGAGUUUCCAUCUCUGCGGUUUAGGGUUUUGCUAUUACUGCGUAGGAGCUGGACAUCUAAGGUUUAGGUCAGUGGAGGUGGAGGAAGUGGCAGAGUGGCUUUUCAGGUGGAAGGAACAUUUAGAGGAGAUUGCUAUGCUUUUUUGGAUCAGGAUGACAAGUAGCAGUUGAUUACUCAAAGUUAGGAAUUGGGACUUGGGAGGAAGAAAAGUGAACUGUAAAUUAAAAAAAAAAAUUCAAUGGUGAUGAGUGAUUCACUUAUUCAUGACUUGAACAACGCCUGGUUUGAGAGUUUUUGUAAUUUACUUCUUAAAAUUUAACAGGAGAACGGUGGAAUUUAAAAGGCGAAGGAAAAUAUGAAUCCAAAAUUUUUUAAGUUCAGAUGUUUGGUAAGCAAGCACACAGAGGCGCAUCCGGACAUAAAAAAAAUGAAGAAGAAAAGAGACAACAGUCAAUAUUUACGAUUGAUGAUCGCUUUUGAGAUUCUAGCAGUUGCAGAGUGGGUCGGAUUGCAAAUUUUAAAAGACUUCCUAUCACUUUCUCGUCGCAUUUGCGUUUGCGAGGGGAAAAGAGAACAUGGUUUCUUUUUCUUUUUCUGACUUUGAGUUGAGAGACUCGCGAACAAGGCUGCUGCAAGUGUCCAAUCCAAUCCAAUGCUGGUACUGAUUUUUUUUUUUUUUUUUUUCCAAUCACCAUCCAAACUAGGUCUGGGAGAUUACCAUGACCCAGAGAGACCUCAGCAAUAAGGAAAGCCAUAACUUAGGACCGAAUUGUUCAUCAUUGCAACGUCGAAUAUGUUAAAAAUUCCACGGACUAGCGUACAAGCAAGCCAUGACAUGAAAAGAAAGCAGCAGCUUCACUACAUGAAUAAUAGUAGUACAGAAAUCAACAAUCGUCUUCCAAUAAUUCCAGCUAACUGUUUCAUGUGAAACUGCGGCAGACUGGUCCCUUGGAAAUUCCAAGACGCACUUCCAU